rnacentral:rRNA from 1 species
AUUGAACGCUGGCGGAAUGCUUUACACAUGCAAGUCGAACGGCAGCACGGGGGCGAACCCUCGGUGGCGAGUGGCGAACGGGUGAGUAAUACAUCGGAACGUGCCCACGUCGUGGGGAGUAACGUAGCGAAAGCUACGCUAAUACCGCAUACGAUCUACGGAUGAAAGACGGGGGAGUCGCAAGACCUCGCGCGAUUGGAGCGGCCGAUGGCAGAUUAGGUAGUUGGUGAGGUAAAGGCUCACCAAGCCUGCGAUCUGUAGCUGGUCUGAGAGGACGACCAGCCACACUGGGACUGAGACACGGCCCAGGACUCCUACGGGAGGCAGCAGUGGGGAAUUUUGGACAAUGGGCGAAAGCCUGAUCCAGCCAUUCCGCGUGCAGGA